CAUUGAAACAUUGGUUCCCAUAUGAUCACCAAAGUUGAGCAACAUUGAAUGCAGUCAGUACCUUGAUGGGUGACCACUUGGGAAUAGCAGGUGCUGUAAG